UGCCACACCCGCCGCGUAUCAAUGCGCUGCCGACGGCGGUUGAGCGAGAUCAGCGGCUAGAAGGUGGAUUUGUUUUGUUUCCGGAGAGAAUGCGGGGCGGCGGCGGUUCCGGGCUUGGGUUUCGCGGCGUGCUGGUGGAGGAGGAAGGGGAGGAGGUGACCUCGGCGCCGGAGAGGCCAAUGCGGCGCCGGCGCCGGCGGUGGGGUGUGGAGGUGGACGACGGCUACUCGCCGAGCUCCACGGGCGGCGGCGGGAGCAGCUGCUGCGACUCCUUCGGCUGCGACUCGCCUUUGGCUGGGUUCGUGCGCCCAGAUGGUGACCCAGACACAGAUCUGGAGACAGAUGGGUUGGCCACUUCCUCCUCCAGUGCUUCUGCAGCCUUCACGGAGCGGCAGGACGACGAGGAGGUGCUGUGCGGGGUGAAGGAAGAGGAGUGGGCGAAGAUACAAGAACAGGCCAAAAAUCCGGCAGGCCGUUCCACCCCAGAAUGCCACAACCAGCGGCAUGGAACGGAGGCUACUGUUCUUUUGCACGGUAGGAAGGGGUCGAAACAGCGACCAGCCUCGCUUGACUUCGGUAGCCCUGGGUUUCAUGGAGCCACAUUUUCACCGAAUUUUGUGGUUGGUGGUGUGGGUUUGAUGAACAAGGGAUUUGUAGCAUCACACAUCAGGUCAGACGUGUUUCAUAGUCCUGGAACACCAAACUAUCCGCGGCACCGUGCAUCAGUGUUGGGGUUCCAGAAAGGGUGGUGCUCUGAGAGAGUGCCGCAUCCUUCCAAAGGAAGCAGGAGGUACCCUGGGAGCAGCAUGGCAUUUCCUUACAGCAAUGGGAGGACAUUGCCCUCAAAAUGGGAGGACGCAGAGAGGUGGAUCUUCAGUCCUAAUUCCAGUGAAGCUCUCGGAAGAAACACAGUUGCUCAUGCUCGGCGACCAAAGUCUAAAAGUGGCCCCUUGGGACCUCCGGGAAGACUUGGCGGACAGUAUUCAUCUGUUUCUUCAGUGUCACUACUUGACAGUGGGAGAGCUGGACCUAUUACAUCAAAUUCACCUUUCGUGGCAGGAGUACUAAUGCCAGAACAUGUUUGUGGAGGAAAAAAUGCAAAUGGAACGUAUUCGGGUAGACCAGCUGGUGAUGAAACCACUGUUGGAAGCAAUCUCAGGUUUUGUCCACCAAAUGGUGGAUCUCAUGCUAUUCGAUCUUCCAGAGUUCGUCGUCGAUUAGAUGCUGCCAUCGAGUCAUCUUCUUCACUGCCUAGCACCCGAGAAUCUAUCCAAGGUGAGCAGGUUGAAAUCACAGAAGAUUCGGCUACUACAUUUGCCUCGAUGAUUUCCAGGAAAGAUGCUGCAACUCAAACUAGCCCAGAGCUAAGUGGGUCCUCUUCCCCCAACACUAGACCAACAUUUACCCGUUCACAGUCGACGCAACAAGUCAAAGAGAGCGAGAGCUGUUUCUCAGAUCUUGAGAUCAGGGAUGUUCAGAUGGAUGAUCGAGUGACUCUAACUAGGUGGUCAAAGAAAAAUGUAACACGAUCAUCUAACAAGAAUUCAACAAACAUAAUAGAGUGGAAGGAGAAGACAGUUGAAUCAAAAUCUUCGUCCUGGGGCUUUGCCGAAGCAAAGUGCAUAUCUAAGAUUGAGAGAGAGGAUGCAAAAAUUACCGCAUGGGAGAAUAUUCAAAAAGCAAAAGCUGAGGCAGCAAUGCAGAAGUUAGUGAUUAAGCUCGAGAAGAAAAGGUCAUCUUCGCUGGACAAGAUUCUGAACACCCUCAAGUCUGCUCAAAGGAAAGCACAGGUGAUGCGUGAGCGUGAUGCAGCAACAGCAAACCAAGAUGAAAAAGGCUCUAGGAAGGGAAAAAAGACAGCACAGCUUAGUAAGAAUGGCCAAAUCAGUUCACUGAGUGGCUGCUUCACUUGCCAUGCUUUCUGAUACAUGUGCUUCCACUCCACAAUAGAGAAAACAGGAGGGGCGAGACAUUCCAUUGAUCAGCUCCUUCAGAUUUAUAGGACUUGCUAUGCUCAGGAGUUGGAACCUGAGGAAUUCCUUCAUAUUCUCAACAUCAAAAUCAGGGUGAAGUUCGUAGGUCCAUCACAUUUCAGUACAUAAUAGCUGCAGCUGCUAUGAUAGGGACCAUGCAGUAUCUACAGUUCUGUUCUGUGUUAGUUUCUAUUCUGCCAAGGGGACAAAAGAAAAUGCUGCCACGAACGAAAAGGGGAACAGGUUCUGCAAACACUCCAUGUGCCUGGCGGAUGCCUCGGCAUAACGAUAAAGGCCUCCUUUAUCAUUGUUCCAUUACCUAGCCAGCCUUGUAUGCUGUAGCUAGUUACUGUGAGCCUGUGAUUUAGAAUGUGCUUGCCAAAGCCGAUAUGGAUCAUACGAAGUGCAAUUCCAGAUCAACAGGCAACAGAAUCUUCAGGUGAGGAGAAAGCACGGCCUGCUUGUGCUGGCGAGUAGAGUGCCCUGCUGGGUGUUGGAACGGGAACAAAAGCUGCUUUUGUUUGGUACAGUGCUUUACGAGCAUGCGAAUGGUGGUGACUACUUGCACCUGCUUUCAGCAGCGUCGGUGUGUAUCCUCUUUUGGGAAUAUGAGAUACUGGUUUAGUGGUUUAGCCUAAUAUACUAUGGAAUGUCUUUGCAUAUGUACAUGUAUGCCUUCGCGUCACAGCAUUUUCUUGUAUGCUGAUUUGUUGUGGGUGUCAUUUUACAAGCAGCACUACAUUCGUCUGGAAUGAUAGUGGUUUCUUCA